rnacentral:rRNA from 1 species
UACGUAGGGACCGAGCGUUGUCCGGAAUCAUUGGGCGUAAAGAGCGUGUAGGCGGCCACUUAAGUCCUGCGUGAAAUCUUGCGGUUCAACCGCAAGCGGUCGUGGGAAACUGGGUGGCUAGAGUGCGGGAGAGGAGAGUGGAAUUCCUGGUGUAGCGGUGGAAUGCGCAGAUAUCAGGAAGAACACCCGUGGCGAAGGCGGCUCUCUGGAACGCAACUGACGCUGAGACGCGAAAGCGUGGGGAGCAAACAGG